rnacentral:rRNA from 1 species
UUUGUAUAAUGGGUCAGCGACUUAUAUUCAGUGGCAAGGUUAACCAUCUAGGGGAGCCGUAGGGAAACCGAGUCUUAACUGGGCGUUCAGUCUCUGGAUAUAGACCCGAAACCAGGUGAUCUAGCCAUGGGCAGGUUGAAGGUUGAGUAACAUCAACUGGAGGACCGAACCGACUAAUGUUGAAAAAUUAGCGGAUGACUUGUGGCUAGGGGUGAAAGGCCAAUCAAACCUGGAGAUAGCUGGUUCUCCCCGAAAGCUAUUUAGGUAGCGCCUCGGACGAAUACUACUGGGGGUAGAGCACUGUUAAGGCUAGGGGGUCAUCCCGACUUACCAACCCUUUGCAAACUCCGAAUACCAGUAAGUACUAUCCGGGAGACACACGGCGGGUGCUAACGUCCGUCGUGGAGAGGGAAACAACCCAGACCGCCAGCUAAGGUCCCAAAUUACUACUAAGUGGGAAACGAUGUGGGAAGGCUCAGACAGCCAGGAUGUUGGCUUAGAAGCAGCCAUCAUUUAAAGAAAGCGUAAUAGCUCACUGGUCGAGUCGGCCUGCGCGGAAGAUGUAACGGGGCUAAGUAGUAAACCGAAGCUGCGGCAAUAUACUUUUGUAUAUUGGGUAGGGGAGCGUUCUGUAAGCGGUUGAAGGUGUGUGGUAACGCAUGCUGGACGUAUCAGAAGUGCGAAUGCUGACAUGAGUAACGAUAAAGGGGGUGAAAAACCUCCUCGCCGGAAGACCAAGGGUUCCUGUCCAACGUUAAUCGGGGCAGGGUAAGUCGACCCCUAAGGCGAGGCCGAAAGGCGUAGUCGAUGGGAAACGGGUUAAUAUUCCCGUACUUCUUACAAUUGCGAUGGGGGGACGGAGAAGGCUAGGUGGGCCUGGCGACGGUUGUC